AGUCGUGGCCGAGUGGUUAAGGCGAUAGACUAGAAAUCCACUGGGGUCUCCCCGCACAGGUUCGAAUCCUGUCGACUGCG
rnacentral:tRNA from 1 species